AAGGCACUUUGCUUUGCGGGCUUCUUCAUUUACUUCAACUAGCUCAAAAUAUUCCCAAAUAGGCGAUCUAGCUUUAGGACCACGAGGCAUAGUUGAACCUACAAAAAAAAAAGAAAAUAUCACAAGUUAGUAAAAUAUUUUUAAUUAUAAAUAACAAAAGGAAUAAAGGAUAUCAUAAAACAAGCAAAUCUUUAAACUUACCACGUGUUAAAACUAUGCAUCAACAAUGCUAGUAUCUCUUUCAACUAUGCAAGUCUCUCUUCCGCUCUUUGCCAUAUCUAAAUAUAAGUUGAUAAAGUGUGUCAUUUAAACUUACAAAGUAAACUAAUUUUUACUAAAACACUCAUAAAACACAAAAACUUACCAAGUUCAAUUUGCUCAAGAAACUCCAAAUCUUCUUCAACAUUAAUAGGAGUACCCUCACAUCUAAACCAAUCUUGAACACAAACAAGACUUUGC
rnacentral:lncRNA from 1 species